AGUCACCGGGCCAGCCGGCGCGGGCUGCGGGGGUGUGGGUGUGGGAGGGGCGCGCCUGCAGAGACGAGGAGGGAGACAGCACGGGGAGAGACCGACGGAGCUGCAGAGACGGAGGCUGAGGCACACAAGGGAAGGCAGCCGAGAGAGACGGACAGGCAGCGCGAGCGAUCUACACACCCAAGCCCCACUGGGAGCCGCCCUGCGCCCUGGAUCCUGGGAAGAGCACAGUGAACCUUCACAGACUCAGAGCCCAGAGAGGAUUGACGGAUGGGGAAACCAAGGCCGAGUGAGCCAGCAGCUUCCCCAAGGCCCCACACAGGCCACAUCCCAGGGCUCCAGUCCCUGUCCCUCUGCUCCUAUAGACCCGGUCCUGCAGCCAGGGCCCCCGCUGGCACCUUUAAAUAGCACCCGGGCGAAGACAAGGUGAUAAGCCUGACCUGUUGGAAGCGUAACCGGUCUGGCCAGAAGCUGGGAUGCCUCCCUCCAGCUCUGGGGAAUCCCUGCUCCCUCUUCCAGGCCCCGGGGGGCCCGUGCAUCUCUCCAGAUGGGAGAGGAUGUCUCCAUACUCGGAGCCCUGAGGCCAGCGCCUGAGGGACCCUGCACGAUCGUAUCACGUCCGCAGGCCUCAGUGUCUCUGGAAAAUGGGCCAGCAAGGGAAGGCUGUAAGGACGGAACGAGGUAAUCCACGACCUUGCUGGGCAGAGGGCGCAUUACACAAACCUGGAAUAACAUCCUGUUUCCCACCAGGCAAAACUGGGUCUUCCCUUCCUGGAGUGUCCCCACCCUCCCCCCCAGGAGGACAGUCUUUGGGCUCCGUGUGCCGGGGGUGGGACCCACGCCCAGGAAGCCGUCCUGCCCCGGGUGUUGAUGGAGGUUAAUAACAGCUUCAUUGAAAUACAGUUCACACAUCGCACAAUUCACCCACCCCCCCCACACCCACGAGCCCCCUUCCCGUCCGGGGAGAAGCCUGUUCUGGACGUUUCACGCACGUGGACUCACACCCCGCGUGGCCUCCCGUGUCUGGUUCCCUCCCUGAGCGUCGCGUGUUCACGUCGGGUGUGGGCGCCGCGCUCCUGCUCGAGGCCGAGGGACAUGCGUGGUGGACACGUGAGAUCCCGGCCUUUCUCUACCUUUCUCAACACGGACACAACCCAGGUUCAUCUGAACAUCUCAGGGCAUGAAUCAGACAAAACAUUCUGGGUCUGAACCCGACAUAAGCAAACAGCUUCUGAAACACGGUGUUGCCCAAAUUCCAACCUCUGACGCUGUGUUCCCUGUUUAAUUACAUUUGUCUCCACCUGU